UGGCCAAUACCCAAAGUGGUGGGCGUAUCGUAGAAAAUGGUGGAGGCCUGGACGACGGUGGCGCGAACCGUGGGUGCAGAUGAGUCCGCACCCAUGUCCACUUCGGCAAAGAGUGGUGCGUCUGAUGCUACUAUCGCCAUUUCUGUUGUUUUGUUUUUUCUUUCUCAGUUUGAGAUUUUUUGCUCAUGGGGUCAUCAUUCAUACAAAUAGCCGUCAUCGUUUUAGACUCGCAGCCGCCAGGCUUCUGGACUUUUCUGUUUUUUUUUUUUUUUUAAUAAUUAUAAAUUUAUCAUGCAUGUAUGAAUAUUUUAUUCGUAAAAAAUACAAAUAAUUAGAGAAAAAUGAUAUGUGAACACUGAACUCAAUGCUGACAGGACGGCAAUUGUAAACGAGGGAAUUGAAGCAGGUACGUCCCAUUCACACCAAACAUUGCAGAAGUACCUUUCGAGGUAAGGUGACA
rnacentral:lncRNA from 1 species